rnacentral:rRNA from 1 species
UCGAACGACUCUCGGCAACGGAUAUCUCGGCUCUUGCAUCGAUGAAGAACGUASCGAAAUGCGAUACUUGGUGUGAAUUGCAGAAUCCCGUGAACCAUCGAGUCUUUGAACGCAAGUUGCGCCCGAGGCCAUUAGGUCGAGGGCACGUCUGCCUGGGCGUCACA